AGAGUUUGAUCCUGGCUCAGGAUGAACGCUGGCGGUAUGCUUAACACAUGCAAGUCGAACGGAGUAGCAAUACUUAGUGGCGGACGGGUGAGUAACGCGUAAGGAUCUGCCUACAGGACAGGGACAACAGAGGGAAACUUCUGCUAAAACCUGAUGUGCCGGAAGGUGAAAUAUUUUAUAGCCUGUAGAUGAGCUUGCGUCUGAUUAGCUAGUUGGAGUGGUAACGGCACACCAAGGCGACAAUCAGUAACUGGUCUGAGAGGAUGACCAGUCACACUGGGACUGAGACACGGCCCAGACUCCUACGGGAGGCAGCAGUGGGGAAUUUUCCGCAAUGGGCGCAAGCCUGACGGAGCAAUACCGCGUGAGGGACGAAGGUCUGUGGAUUGUAAACCUCUUUUGAUAGGGACGAUAAUGACGGUACCUAUCGAAUCAGCAUCGGAUUCCGC
rnacentral:rRNA from 1 species